rnacentral:rRNA from 1 species
UACGUAGGGUGCAAGCGUUGUCCGGAAUUAUUGGGCGUAAAGGGCUCGUAGGCGGUUCGUCGCGUCGGCUGUGAAAACCUGAGGCUCAACCUCAGGCCUGCAGUCGAUACGGGCGGACUUGAGUACUGCAGGGGAGACUGGAAUUCCUGGUGUAGCGGUGAAAUGCGCAGAUAUCAGGAGGAACACCGGUGGCGAAGGCGGGUCUCUGGGCAGUAACUGACGCUGAGGAGCGAAAGCGUGGGGAGCGAACAGG